rnacentral:rRNA from 1 species
AAUAGAUACCCGGGUAGUCCACGCCGUAAACGUUGGGCGCUAGAUGUGGGGACCAUUCCACGGUUUCCGCGUCGUAGCUAACGCAUUAAGCGCCCCGCCUGGGGAGUACGGCCGCAAGGCUAAAACUCAAAGGAAUUGACGGGGGCCCGCACAAGCGGCGGAGCAUGCGGAUUAAUUCGAUGCAACGCGAAGAACCUUACCAAGGCUUGACAUAUGCGAGAACGCUCUAGAAAUAGAGAACUCUUUGGACACUCGUAUACAGGUGGUGCAUGGUUGUCGUCAGCUCGUGUCGUGAGAUGUUGGGUUAAGUCCCGCAACGAGCGCAACCCUCGUCGCAUGUUGCCAGCACGUAAUGGUGGGAACUCAUGUGAGACUGCCGGGGUCAACUCGGAGGAAGGUGGGGAUGACGUCAAAUCAUCAUGCCCCUUAUGUCUUGGGCUUCACGCAUGCUACAAUGGCCGGUACAAGGGCUGCGAAACCGCAAGGUGGAGCGAAUCCCAAAAAGCCGGUCUCAGUUCGGAUUGAGGU